rnacentral:lncRNA from 1 species
CGGAACCGAGGCAGUUUCCGCCGUGCGCUGUGAGUGGCAGAAAGGCCUUCUUGGUAGUGUCCCUGCGCGCCCGUUAGGGGGUCGUGGGGAUGCCCAACUAGGACUCUUCCCAUCACUAGAUGGAGAAUCGCCUUCUCGGACGCGAGUAUCUCAGAGAAUAGCAGAGCUGCUGUUUUAACUCCGGCGAGGAUGAAGAGGAAGGAGAAGGGGGGCGGGGGGACCUCCCGUACUCUGAGAUUAGAGUGGCUUCUUUCCUAUUCAGACCGGAGAUAAUCUCUUGUAAAAUUGCUUCGCUUCCAUUUACAGAUGCAGAACUGCGAAAGGGGCAGAUUCCAGCGCCCCUCCUUUUCUUGAUUUCUUUUGACUGCCACGUUCGAACGCUGGAAGACAGUCUAUUUUAGCAAUGUAGGUUUGGAGACUAUUUCUCGUAGAAGGACAAGGACAGUUCCCUGGGGAAAUCAUCAGCAUUUGAUCAUUUUGGCUUAAUUUCCUUUGAGCUUUCUGGGGAAUGUUCUAUAUAAAUGUUUGCUGGCUGUGCAUUAACAUUCAUAGAGAUUUUUUUUUUCCUAAGUAUGGAUUUUGGAGGACUGACCUAAACGGAGUCAGUCUAUCUGAAAAACAUGUCCACAGACAUACCAACCUAGAAUAGGAAAGAAGUACAAAACAGACCUAAUGCAUCUUAAGGUGCAUCCAUUCAUUCAUUCAUUCACCAAAUACCUGAGUAUCUUGUAUGUGGUGUCAGAAAGCAUACUUUUUCUGGGGGGGGGGAGAGAAAGUGAGAGAGCACAAGUAGGAGAGAGGGACAGAGGGAUAGAGAGAGAGAAUCUUAAGCAGGCUCCAUGCUCAGCCCAAUACAGGGCUUCCUCCCAAGACCCUGGGAUCAUGACCUGAGCCAAAAUCAAGAGUUAGAGGCUCAACGGAUUGAGCCACCCAGGUGCUCCUAGAAACCAUACCUUUUACUAAAGACCCUAUAGUGGGCAAAACGCAUCACCCAUCCUCCAAGGUUGAUUAUAACCCCACUGCUGGAAGCUAGUCAGCUCCUAUGUCAAGUAGUGGGAUGAGAGUUGCCAAAACAGAACACAUCCACAGAUAAGAAGAGGGGUUCAUCUAGGGGCAGCUGGGUGGCUCAGUCAGUUAAGCAUCAGACUUUGGCUCAGGUCAUGGCCUCACUGUUCAUGAGUUCAAGCCCCGUGUGGGGCUCCGUACUGACAGCUCAAGCCUGGAGCCUGCUUCAGAUUCUGUAUCUCCCUCUCUCUGUCUGUCCCUUCCCUGCUCACACUGUCUUUCUCUCUCUCUUUCAAAAAUAAACAUUAAAAAAAUUUUUAAAAAAGAAGAAAGGUUGAUGUGGAUUUAGGAUUGCAUCUCAUGCAUGGAUUAAUUAAACCAGGAAGUAUUAGGAACAUAUGCUGGUUAUUUUCAGAAAUUUGAAGUGCUCUUAUGUUAAAAGAAAGUAGUCUUAGCUUAGUUAAGUGAAAAGAAAUAUGAAAAAUAAGAAUAUUGGAUGGAAGUUGUAAGAAGAGUAAAUUUCACCUGAAUUUUUGAGGGGGGUACUGGCCAUUGCUAAGUCAGGAAUGUGUCGAACAGUGGUGUGGCCUGCUUCAGAAAGGAGUCAGACUCUCUAUUCAUUCAAUCACUCAUUGGUUCAUUCAAUGCAUAUUAUGUGCCUACUUUGUGGGAGGCAUUGUGUCAAGCCCCUGAGACACAGCUGGAAUAUGGUUGCUGCUAUGAUGCAACUCUUAGUAAAGAAGUAUGAUGAGUUACAAAAAAAAAAAAUGGUACUUUGGGCAUAAAUAAAAGGAGAAAUCCAACCUCAUAUAGGAGUUUGGGAAGACCUUGAUAAAGGAGUGAUCCUUCAAAACUCUAAGAAUGAGUAGGUUAUACGUGAUUACUAAGUGCUUCUUAGAGUGAAAUAAAUAUAACAAUUGCUAGAGGAUUUAUUUUGAAGCCUAAAGAUUUGUGUUAAGUAUGUGCAGUUGUCUGUUGUUUUCUUGCUACAUCCGGUAAGGUUGCAUCCCUAGAUCUUGAGAAGCCAAAGUCUAGAAUUAGGUCUGCUUUUGACCAAACAGUGUUUGAAUCCUGUUUUUAUCUAAUUCUAGAUUUGUAGCCUUGGUUCAAUUACUUUAUCUCCCUGUAGUAGAGAUUGCUAAUGCUUACCUAUAUCCAUUUUUCUUCUUCCCAGGCACGUUAAAGUCUGUACCUUUCCAGUUAAGUGUAAUCAUGUGAUCAUUUGUGAAACGAAAUGCGAGUGGAAGUGGUGUGUGCAUUUCUGGGUGAAAAAGAAGAUAGUGAAAGACCUCACAUGGCCCUUCAGCACACUCCUCUCCUGGAAGAAUAACCCUGAAAGCGACAGGAUGUAGAGGACAAGACGAAAGUAGCCUGGAUCCCAGAAUCACAUUAUGAAAAGGAGGUGCUCUAAAUAGUUGUCAGACCAGCAACAAACUGGCAACAAAUCAGUAACAAACCAAUUUUAUGCCCAUUAAGACUUUGAGGUCUGGGGGUGCCUGGGUGGCUCACUCUCUUAAGUGUCUGCCUCUUGAUUUUGGCUCAGGUCAUGAUCUCAUGGUUCAUGGGAUUGAACCCUGCACCAGGGUCUACACUGACAGCAUGGGGUCUGCUUGGAAUUCUCUGUCUCCCUCCCUCGCUGCCCCUCCCUCCCUCUCCCUCUCUCUCAAAAUAAAUAAAUAAACUUAAAAAACAAACGAUUUUGAGGUCUGUUUGUUACUGCAACAUGACCUAAUCUACACGGAC